AUGAACAAUCUCCUUUGUGCUCCGUUCUCGGAGGAGGAGGUAUCUAAUGCUCUUUUUCAAAUCGGUCCUCUUAAAGCGCCAGGGACGGAUGGUCUCCCGGAGAGAUUUUUCCAACGGAAUUGGGCCGUGAUGAAAUCUGAAAUUAUAGUUGAUGUCCUGGAGUUCUUUAAUUCAGGAAUUAUGCCUGACGGGGUGAACGACACGGCUAUUGUUCUUAUCCCGAAAAUUCCUUUCCCAAAGGAACUCAAGGAUUUUAGACCGAUAAGCCUAUGCAACAUCAUUUAUAAGAUUGUGUCAAAAUGCUUGGUGAACAGGCUAAGGCCGAUGCUUGCGGAGUUAAUAUCAGAGAAUCAGAGUGCCUUUGUCCCAGGAAGGCUUAUCUCUGACAACUCUAUAAUUGCUUUUGAGUGCCUUCAUCAUAUACAGUCGUUGAAACAAAACAGGCAGGCAGCGUGUGCUUACAACCUUGAUUUGUCAAAGGCAUAUGAUCAUGUCAACUGGGAUUUUUUGGAGAAAGCACUUGGUAAAUGGGGAUCUCGUGGAUUAUGGUUUGUGUGA
rnacentral:rRNA from 1 species